AAAUUUACAGAUUGUAUGUGUGUGUGAAGAAAACAGUCCGUGAUGUGUGUGUGUGUGUGAGGAUAGUCCAUGUAUAGUUUAUGUAAGGACUGUCACCACAAUGCAGACUAGUGACGAUCCUUCCAUGCGUAUUUGAACAAAAACAAUAACACACGGAGCUACAGCGUCUUACCUGUCUCAUCAUGCACUGCAGAAGGCCCUGCAUCAGCUUCACCACGCUCUGCCAAAUAACAAGAUAAGUACCAACAGAUACAACUUACCUGCUCCAGUUCGUAGGCCUUGGCUUUGUCUUCAUCGCGGUCAGCGUUCUUGCGAUAAGCCAUGCCCAGCCCCCACACAGCCAGGACACUGUACACGUUAUCCCUCACCCAGGCAUCCUUCUUCUGGAUGCUGGCAGGGAGAAGUCCAGUCACUGGGUUCUGAGGAAGGAAGAGUCCAGCUUACAGUCAACAGAUACGCUAAAUGUGUGCAAUUACACGUGCAAAAUAAACAAGAUUACAGCUG